CAUGCAAGUCGAACGAGAAAUCACUUCGGUGAAUGGAAAGUGGCGGACGGGUGAGUAAUGUGUAGAGAAUCUGCCCUGGAGAGGGGGACAACAGAGGGAAACUCCUGCUAAUACCCCAUAUGCGCGUAGUUGAGAUACUAUUCGUGAAAGAUUUAUCGCUUCAGGGUGAGUCUGCAUCUGAUUAGCUAGUUGGGGGUGUAAUGGACCACCAAGGCGACGAUCAGUAGCUGGUUUGAGAGGAUGAUCAGCCACAAUGGGACUGAGACACGGCCCAUACUCCUACGGGAGGCAGCAGUAGGGAAUUUUGCGCAAUGGGCGAAAGCCUGACGCAGCAACGCCGCGUGAUCGCAGACGGCCUUCGGGUUGUAAAGAUCUGUCAGCAGGGACGAACAAUGACUGUACCUGCAGAGGAAGCACCGGCUAACUCCGUGCCAGCAGCCGCGGUAAUACGGGGGGUGCGAGCGUUGUCCGGAAUCAUUGGGCGUAAAGAGUUCGUAGGUGGUUUGUUAAGUUUGGUGUUAAAGGCGCAGGCUCAACUUGUGUAUGGCAUCGGAUACUGGCAGACUANAAUGCGGUAGAGGUAAAG
rnacentral:rRNA from 1 species